ACACUAUCAUUAACUGAAUCCAUAGGUUAAUGAGGCGAACCGGGGGAACUGAAACAUCUAAGUACCCCGAGGAAAAGAAAUCAACCGAGAUUCCCCCAGUAGCGGCGAGCGAACGGGGAGGAGCCCAGAGCCUGAAUCAGUGUGUGUGUUAGUGGAAGCGUCUGGAAAGGCGCGCGAUACAGGGUGACAGCCCCGUACACAAAAAUGCACAUGCUGUGAGCUCGAUGAGUAGGGCGGGACACGUGGUAUCCUGUCUGAAUAUGGGGGGACCAUCCUCCAAGGCUAAAUACUCCUGACUGACCGAUAGUGAACCAGUACCGUGAGGGAAAGGCGAAAAGAACCCCGGCGAGGGGAGUGAAAAAGAACCUGAAACCGUGUACGUACAAGCAGUGGGAGCACGCUUAGGCGUGUGACUGCGUACCUUUUGUAUAAUGGGUCAGCGACUUAUAUUCUGUAGCAAGGUUAACCGAAUAGGGGAGCCGAAGGGAAACCGAGUCUUAACUGGGCGUUAAGUUGCAGGGUAUAGACCCGAAACCCGGUGAUCUAGCCAUGGGCAGGUUGAAGGUUGGGUAACACUAACUGGAGGACCGAACCGACUAAUGUUGAAAAAUUAGCGGAUGACUUGUGGCUGGGGGUGAAAGGCCAAUCAAACCGGGAGAUAGCUGGUUCUCCCCGAAAGCU
rnacentral:rRNA from 1 species